UACGUAGGGCGCAAGCGUUGUCCGGAAUUAUUGGGCGUAAAGAGCUCGUAGGCGGUCUGUUGCGUCGGCUGUGAAAACCCGGGGCUCAACUCCGGGCCUGCAGCCGAUACGGGCAGACUAGAGUUCGGCAGGGGAGACUGGAAUACUUGGUGUAGCAGUGAAAUGCGUAGAUAUCAAGUGGAACACCAGUGGCGAAGGCGAGUCCCUGGACAACUCCUGACACUGAGGCACGAAAGCUAGGGGAGCAAACAGG
rnacentral:rRNA from 1 species